GACGAACGCUGGCGGCGUGCUUAACACAUGCAAGUCGAACGGAAAGGCCCUGCUUUUGUGGGGUGCUCGAGUGGCGAACGGGUGAGUAACACGUGAGUAACCUGCCCUUGACUUUGGGAUAACUUCAGGAAACUGGGGCUAAUACCGGAUAGGAUCUCCUGCUGCAUGGUGGGGGUUGGAAAGUUUCGGCGGUUGGGGAUGGACUCGCGGCUUAUCAGCUUGUUGGUGGGGUAGUGGCUUACCAAGGCUUUGACGGGUAGCCGGCCUGAGAGGGUGACAGGCCACAUUGGGACUGAGAUACGGCCAAGACUCCUACGGGAGGCAGCAGUGGGGAAUAUUGCACAAUGGGCGGAAGCCGGAUGCAGCAACGCCGCGUGCGGGAUGACGGCCUUCGGGUUGUAAACCGCUUUCGCCUGUGACGAAGCGUGAGUGACGGUAAUGGGUAAAGAAGCACCGGCUAACUACGU
rnacentral:rRNA from 1 species